UACGUAGGGGGCAAGCGUUGUCCGGAUUCAUUGGGCGUAAAGAGCGUGUAGGCGGCCAGGUAGGUCCGUUGUGAAAACUCGAGGCUCAACCUCGAGACGUCUAUGGAAACCAUCUGGCUAGAGUCCGGAAGAGGAGAGUGGAAUUCCUGGUGUAGCGGUGAAAUGCGCAGAUAUCAGGAAGAACACCAACGGCGAAGGCAGCUCGCUGGGACGGUACUGACGCUGAGGCGCGAAAGCGUGGGGAGCGAACAGG
rnacentral:rRNA from 1 species